CCAGGACCUGCGUAGCAUCCUUGCACUGGGGAGAGGUGCUAUCUCUGCAGUGCUUGCCAUUACACUUGUCUUCUCCAUCCUAGUUAGCUUUCUGGGACUCUGGCUUUGCUGCUAGUGAGCAAGUGUUAUUUGCCUCUGAUUCCUUUUCCACUAGUCCCAGUGGGAAACUGAAGCAUCUGUGAAACCUUUCGCUGCUAAAAAGUGUUCCCUGGUCUUCCUCCAUAUCUGCUAUUCUGGGGAAGUCCUGCUGCUUUGUGUGCAGAAUGAUGAAUACCUCCUUCACCCUUCUCCAACCUCCUUGGUGAGAGUUCGGCUAGAUAGUCUGCAAAUAAAUCCUCCUUUCUGGUUUCCCCUGGGUGUGGGGGGUAAUCUGGCCACAGUCACUAGUCAGAGAAACCAUCUUCCUAUUGCAGCAUUUGAAUGAGCUUUGAUUCCCUUCAUUCUACACAGCAAUAUAGCAGCAUUUGCCCAAAUAAGCACUUCUCUGAAGGCAUUGAUGCUCACCACACCAGAAGGCAAAAUGCCAUGAGGAAGUCAACCGAAGAGAAUCGAUCCAUUCUGAACCCCAAGAAGUUUGGUGGUUACAGGAAAAAUAUACAGAUCUGCUGAAGCUGACCAUUAACAUCAGGCAAGGGAUCUGCCUGGAUCUUGCAACUCCAAAGCCAAGCUGAGCUACUGGAGCUGUUUGGAAUUGGCACAAGGCUCUUGCACUGCUUACACCUUCAUCCAUCAGUGUGAGGAUUACUUUCCCUCAGUGAACUGGUCAAUGACCUUAUACAUGGCAUAUUUAUUUUUUGAGCUUUAUCUAUAAAAUUAGAGCUGUGCAAAUCAAUUUGUGUAAUAGGAUCUCUAGUCACAGAUCCUUUAGUAUUUGCCUUAUAUCCUCUAAUGACCAGAGUUUUUAAUACCUUUUAAUGCUUUGGACUGGAGACAGUGUUGCCUGCUCUGUGCUUUUACUGAGUCGUGAGAUAUUUGGUCUUGUGUUUAUAGCCCCAGCUCCUGGAGGCAAAUGACUGCACGAGAAUCUUGGCUUUUGUUUUAAAGUGUUUCUAGUAAUUGUGGUUUGUGAGAAUGGCUUUAAAAUGUGAUCUGGCUCCACUGUAAAGACUCAGGAACUGGAAG
rnacentral:lncRNA from 1 species